GGUCAGAUAGCUAAAUUGGUAGAGCAACCAAGGCCGGUAUCAUUAGAUGGGUCAUUAGUGGUUUUUGGGUUCGAAUCCCGAUCUGACCU
rnacentral:tRNA from 1 species